GAGUGGAAAAGUCAUCUAGCAAGCAAGGGACUAAGGGUAAUUGGGGCUGGAAGAAAGAUGCAAACGAAUCAGAGCAAGUGUGAGUAAGAAAUGCCAACAGAAGUCCCUUUUACACUACAAGAGUAUAGUGCUAUUGCCCAGUCUAACUGUCAUGACAACAUCCUGUGGGAUUCCAGGAUUGUUUAUUAGGACAGAGGACUUUGGAAUUCUGAGCUGGAAAAUUCUCUGAUAUCUCUGACCAGAUGACCAAAUCUCAGGAUGAACCCAUAGGAAGCAACCACAGCAGCUAAAGUGGAAGCAUUACAAUUAUGUUACAAAUGUGUGAUGUGAAAAGACCUUGAUGAAUUGAAAUCAAGGAGGAGAAACCAGGAGGCUGAUGCUUACCCCCAUGGAUGGUGUGCCAGGUGAGUCGGGCAAUGCAGGGUGUGGGAUGAUGGGUUCCCCACACCCCUGAGAGGCACAGCUGGAUAUGCCACAAUGAUUUGUGAUUUUGGGGGCCCGUCUGAUGAUGUCGUUAGACUUCCAGAAAGUGGGUUGCUUCUCAUCAUACAGAUGCCCCAUUCUGAUGCCAGCAGAGAGACCAGUAAUGGGCAGAAGCUUCAAUCAAACUCCAUAGACAGCUAGGAGCAUCAGUGGUGACAUCCAGGAUAUGAGAUGUGGAUCACUCCAGUGACCCUGGAGCAUAUUAACAUCAGGCCAGUCUGUCUUCCUCAUUUUUUGUGAUUACAGUGCAACAUGUGAGGCAGCAGGUUCUGACAAUAAAGCUAUCGAUGUAUUUUGACUGGACAAGACUGGAGUGUUAAGCGCAUUACCCUGAUUUGUGAGUUGCUUUUUUGCAAGAAAUGCCAGGACUCCAUCCGUUUAGCAAGCCUGUUCCUUUGCUUUGAAGUCUGCCAAGAAUUCUUCUAAAUUUUUUCCCAUGACUUUUCAAGCAGGAUUCCCCAGACCUCAAAAGGAUGCUAUCAUGUCCAGAAGUGUUUACAGUCACUGCUGCUUGUUUAAACACAUCUUGGUAGACUGCCCCCAGGGUGCAAACUUUCUUUUGGGUAAUGUUAAGAUAAGAAGCCAUGCUUAGCUUGUCUUGUUGUAUCCAGCACUUCUACAGGCAAUGCAUCUGAUUACAUAGAAUAUUUUCAAGCCAUCGAUGGAUACAGACUCCAUGGAUCUGGAGGGCUCACUGUAUAUAAAUAAACACAUUACAUGGAAAAUA